AGAGUUUGAUCCUGGCUCAGGAUGAACGCUAGCGGCAAGCCUAAUACAUGCAAGUCGAACGAGACUUGGUAGCAACAUCAAGUUUAGUGGCGCACGGGUGCGUAGCACGUAUGCAAUCUACCCUUUACUUAGGAAUAGCCCGGAGAAAUUCGGAUUAAUACCUAAUGAGAAGUAAUUGUGGCAUCACAGAUAUUUUAAAGAUUUAUCGGUAAAGGAUGAGCAUGCGGUUGAUUAGCUAGUUGGUGAGGUAAUGGCUCACCAAGGCGACGAUCAAUAGGGGUUCUGAGAGGAAGAUCCCCCACGCUGGCACUGAGAUACGGGCCAGACUCCUACGGGAGGCAGCAGUAGGGAAUAUUGGGCAAUGGUCGCGAGACUGACCCAGCCAUGCCGCGUGAAGGAAGAAGGCUUUCUGAGUUGUAAACUUCUUUUAUCUGGGAAUAAAAUACCCUUGCGAGGGGAACUGAAGGUACCAGAUGAAUAAGCACCGGCUAACUCCGUGCCAGCAGCCGCGGUAAUACGGAGGGUGCAAGCGUUGUCCGGAUUUAUUGGGUUUAAAGGGUGCGUAGGCGGUUCUAUAAGUCAGUGUUUAAAGUCUGCAGCUUAACUGUAGGAAUGGCAUUGAUACUGUAGAACUUGAGUAAAGUUGAGGUAGACAGAAUUGAUGGUGUAGCGGUGAAAUGCAUAGAUAUCAUCAAGAAUACCGAUUGCGAAGGCAGUUUACUAAACUUUAACUGACGCUGAGGCACGAAAGUGUGGGGAUCAAACAGGAUUAGAUACCCCCGUAGUCC
rnacentral:rRNA from 1 species